CCGAGUCAGUGGACGAUAAGACGCCAAGCUUGACAGCUCGUGCAGUCAAACUAGCGAACGAUCGAACGACACUUUGGCUCUUGCGAAUUCGUCCGUACGUCCAUCGAGUGUUUCUGAUAUCGUUUCAAAUAACAACUCCUGGUGCACGAGCUGUCCUUGCCUACAUCCACCAGCAGAGGCUGAUAGGAAGCGGGUCCAGGAAGCUGUACCUGCAGCAUCAUCGCAGAUACUUCUUUCAUCUUUCUUUUCUUUCCCUUUUCUUAAUUAUUUACUUUCCUUUUUCAACUAUUAUAACAAUAGAUGUGAACUCUCUUCUCUUAUUUCUGAAAUAAUUUCUCUUUGUCGAGGUACCAUCAUCUUCUUGGGGAUUGCUGAACGAAGCUGCUCUUCUUCUGGAACAUCUAGCUGUCCAUGUAACUUCAAAAAAACAAGUUCAAAGUUACACCAACAAAAAAGGUUCAAAACUUAGAAGUUCAACGAAACACCAAGGCCAUCAAGGUACUCUGCACUUCUGGACUGGGAAACUGCAGCUUACAGGACAUUCGCAGUCAAUCUCUUUGUUAGCAGUUCCUUUAUAAAGGUUUGCUCAUCAACCGGAAAAUCCACGGCUGCAGUGAAAUUAACACUCACUACAACAAUUUUGGCCAAAUCAUCUCUCAGGCAUUGUAAGGGUAUUGUCAUCUCUUGAGAGCAACAUAUUUUGGUUGUAUUUGUUACAUUAAUUUAUAUCUUUAAAUUUUUCUUUUUAUUGGUUUUUUA
rnacentral:lncRNA from 12 species